AAUUUCAAGUUGAUGUGAUCACAACUUCACUGUAAACUACCUUGAAGUGGCAGAGAAUUAACUGACAAGCAGAUGUACAGAUUUAAAAUCAUAAUGCCCCAAUACUAUGUUAGGCCGGCAUAAAAUUAAAAAAGGCCAGGUAUCACUAAGGGCUGUUCCAGAAAAUACUAUGUCCCCCCCAGGGACGGCACUUUUUUUUAACCCCCACCACCCACAGAAAUAAAAUUUAAUUAGAACAGCACUCCCUUUGCAUUUUGGUAUUUCAAAUACAACCACCCACAUAAUAUUUAAAAAAAAUUGCCUUCCCUGGGGGGGACAUAGUAUUUUCUGGAACAGCCCUAA
rnacentral:lncRNA from 1 species